GAAAUCUAGUUGUAUGUUUGAAAAUCAUCACCUCUCUCCUGACCAACAAGGAUCAAAUCCUACGGUCUCCAUCCCACAUAGGCUGGCAGACUAUAUCCUAGGAAAGAAAGUGAAGUCCAUGCCCCCCAUCUAGUGCCCCAUAGGAAAUUUUGAUACUGCUGCUCCAGACCCUAAAAGAAGAGCACUGCACCACAGUAUUUAUCAAAAAGUAGAUCGGAAUAAAACUUAGGAUCGAUCUUACCAGGAUAGUCCUAUCGAUCAUGGAGAGAGCAUUGACUUAUUAGUCAUCGAGGCGCUCACGAAUCCGCUGGUCGAUGGAUCUACAGUCGGUCCUUCGAAGUCUCU
rnacentral:lncRNA from 1 species